UACGGAGGAUGCAAGCGUUAUCCGGAAUGAUUGGGCGUAAAGCGUCCGCAGGUGGCUAUGUAAGUCUGCUGUUAAAGAGUGAGGCUCAACCUCAUAAGAGCAGUGGAAACUACAUGGCUAGAGUGCGUUCGGGGCAGAGGGAAUUCCUGGUGUAGCGGUGAAAUGCGUAGAGAUCGGGAAGAACAUCGGUGGCGAAAGCGCUCUACUGGACGGUGACUGACACUCAGGGACGAAAGCUAGGGGAGCGAAUGGG
rnacentral:rRNA from 1 species